UAUUUGUUUUUCCCUAGCCAUACACGUAUCCAAGCCCCAAAAGUCUUCUUACUUUUCUGAUUUUCUUGGCUGCUCCCUGAAGUCCAGCAGCUGCUUUUCUUCUUUCUCUAUUUUCCCCUUUCUUUGUUCUUCUUUCUUCUUCCUUCCUUACACGGCAACAUCUCUCCCUUCCUUCCUCACCAAAAAUUCUAGUUUCUUUAAAGAAGAAAUUAAACAAUUAGCCUUAAGGUUUCAUCUUCAAAGUGUGUGGGUGUUACCAGUAUCCAAGUCUAAGCUCCUUCGACUUUAGGCUCUCGAUUCUUCUGCUCUCAGGUAAGGGAUAAGUUAUAUGAGCAUUUGUUAGCAGGUUUUAUUUUGGAGCAGAGGGAGCCUUAGUCGAGUUUUGAAAGGAGCUGGUUUUAGUUUGAUAUGUAUAAAUCCUAAAUUGGCAUUCUGACGUUUAGCUUUAUAGUUAUUGUGUAUUUUAGGAUCAAAUGAAAGUUGUGUAUACCUUAAAGUAUCAAGCUAUGUAUUAUGUAAAAGUGUGGAAAUUAAAUGAUUGGUGGAUUAUGUUA